GACAGCAGUCGCCACGGGAAUACGUAGGCGGCAAGCGUUGUCCGGAAUUAUUGGGCGUAAAGGGCUCGCAGGCGGUUUCUUAAGUCUGAUGUGAAAGCCCCCGGCUCAACCGGGGAGGGUCAUUGGAAACUGGGAAACUUGAGUGCAGAAGAGGAGAGUGGAAUUCCACGUGUAGCGGUGAAAUGCGUAGAGAUGUGGAGGAACACCAGUGGCGAAGGCGACUCUCUGGUCUGUAACUGACGCUGAGGAGCGAAAGCGUGGGGAGCGAACAGGAUUAGAGACCCCCGUAGUCCCUGUCUCUUAUAC
rnacentral:rRNA from 1 species